GUGGGGAAUCUUGCGCAAUGGGCGAAAGCCUGACGCAGCCAUGCCGCGUGAAUGGUGAAGGUCUUAGGAUUGUAAAAUUCUUUCACCGGGGACGAUAAUGACGGUACCCGGAGAAGAAGCCCCGGCUAACUUCGUGCCAGCAGCCGCGGUAAUACGAAGGGGGCUAGCGUUGCUCGGAAUUACUGGGCGUAAAGGGUGCGUAGGCGGAUCGUUAAGUCAGGGGUGAAAUCCCAGAGCUCAACUCUGGAACUGCCCUUGAUACUGGCGAUCUUGAGUGUGAGAGAGGUAUGUGGAACUCCGAGUGUAGAGGUGAAAUUCGUAGAUAUUCGGAAGAACACCAGUGGCGAAGGCGACAUACUGGCUCAUUACUGACGCUGAGGCGCGAAAGCGUGGGGAGCAAACAGGAUUAGAUACCCGUGUAGUCC
rnacentral:rRNA from 1 species